rnacentral:rRNA from 1 species
UGCGGGGACACGCGCGCGAGGCGCCACCCGGUAUGGAAUACCGGGGGAAAGCGGAACGUGAGGGCACCAGGAAAACCCGGUGCCGGAAUCACCCGCCGCGAGACGACCGAAAUCAAGUAGGGAAGCGCGCGGGGCGCGCGUCAAGAAAAGCCGCUAUCGUUCGCACCGUACCCGUACCGUAAACCGACACAGGUGGAUAGGGCGAGGAGCCCAAGGCCGGCGGAAGAAGCAUUGUUAAGGAACUCGGCAAAAUGACCCCGUAACUUCGGGAGAAGGGGUGCCACAGAAAUGUGGCCGCAGAGAACAGGCUCAAGCAACUGUUUAGCAAAAACACAGGUCUAUGCAAAGCCGCAAGGCGACGUAUAUGGGCUGACGCCUGCCCGGUGCUGGAAGGUUACGAGGAGGGGUUAGCGCAAGCGAAGCUCUGAAUCCAAGCCCCAGUAAACGGCGGCCGUAACUAUAACGGUCCUAAGGUAGCGAAAUUCCUUGUCGGGUAAGUUCCGACCCGCACGAAAGGCGUAAUGAUUUGAGCACUGUCUCGACAAUGCAUCCGGUAAAAUUGAAGUGCCAGUGAAGAUGCUGGCUACCCGCGCCAGGACGGGAAGACCCCAUGGAGCUUUACUCCAGCCUGGCACUGGGAUCCGGUACCGCCUGCACAGGAUAGGCGGGAGGCUUCGAGGGCGAUCUUUCGGGAUCGCCGGAGCCGAUGUUGGGAUACCACCCUUGUGGCACUGGGUUUCUAACCGAUAUCCGUAAGCCGGAGUCGGGACAAUGCCAGGCGGGGAGUUUGACUGGGGCGGUCGCCUCCGAAAGUGUAUCGGAGGCGCUCAAAGGUCCGCUCAGGAUGGACGGAAACCAUCCGGAGAGCGCAAAGGCAGAAGCGGGCUUGACUGCGACACCGACGGGUGGAGCAGGUACGAAAGUAGGACUUAGUGAUCCGGUGGCAGAAAGUGGGAUUGCCAUCGCUCAACGGAUAAAAGCUACCCUGGGAUAACAGGCUUAUCACUCCCAAGAGUUCACAUCGACGGAGUGGUUUGGCACCUCGAUGUCGGCUCAUCGCAUCCUGGGGCUGUAGUAGGUCCCAAGGGUUGGGCUGUUCGCCCAUUAAAGCGGUACGCGAGCUGGGUUCAGAACGUCGUGAGACAGUUCGGUCCCUAUCCGGCGCGGGCGCAGGACAUUUGAGAGGAGCCGUCCUUAGUACGAGAGGACCGGGACGGACCCGCCUCCGGUGCACCGGCUGGGCCGCCAGGCCCAUGACCGGGUAGCUGUGCGGGGAAGGGAUAAACGCUGAAGGCAUCUAAGCGUGAAGCCCCCCUCAAGACAAGAUGUCCCAUCCCUACAAGGGAGUAAGUCCCCUUUGAGAAGAAGAGGUUGAUAGGGCAGAGGUGGAAGUGCCGUAAGGCAUGGAGCUGACUGCUACUAAUCGGAC